AGAGUAAAAACGACAAGAAACUGGAGGACAAUGUUACAAGAGAGAGUCACUGCGCUUAGCGCUGCAUUCUUUUUUUAAAAGAUAAAAAAAUAAAGCGAAGCACCUAAAAGAGUCUCGUAGCUCAGCUGGUUAGAGCGCUACACUGAUAAUGUAGAGGUCGGCAGUUCGAGUCUGCCCGAGACUACUUUAAAUGACAGGGUGUUUUUUUAGAUUUUAAAAAAUGGAAAUUCUAGAGGUUGGGAUUCUGCUUUUAGGGGUCCUUAUAUGGGAUAACCACGAAAAGAGGGGGAAUUAGCUCAGCUGGCUAGAGCACUUGAUUUGCAUUCAAGAGGUCAUCGGUUCGACUCCGAUAUUCUCCACAACCAUGUGUAUUUUUGUUUUGCUAUAAGGCAGGGCCAAAGUUCAUUUGAGAGGCUGUAUUUUGAGAGAUAGCAUAGGCUAUUUGGAAAAGUAGAGUUAAAAAACGUUCAUUGACAUAUUGAAAGAAUACAAGAAGUAGAAUCAAUUAAUAACAAUUGGUUGUACGAGCAAAUAGAUAAAAACAAAAACUACAAUUUUAAAAAUAGAAAGAGUAGAAAAGUUAC
rnacentral:tRNA from 1 species